rnacentral:Y_RNA from 1 species
GGCUGGUCCAAAGGCAUUGAGUUAUCUCAUUUGAUGGUUCACAGUCAGUUACAGAUUGAACUCCUUGUUCUACUCUUCUUCCCUUCUCCGCACUUGACUAGUCUUUA